AUGCAAGUCGAGGGGAAACGACAUCGAAAGCUUGCUUUUGAUGGGCGUCGACCGGCGCACGGGUGAGUAACGCGUAUCCAACCUGCCCACCACUUGGGGAUAGCCUUUCGAAAGAAAGAUUAAUAUCCGAUGGUAUAUUUUCUCCGCAUGGUGAGAAUAUUAAAGAAUUUCGGUUAUCGAUGGGGAUGCGUUCCAUUAGUUUGUUGGCGGGGUAACGGCCCACCAAGACCACGAUGGAUAGGGGUUCUGAGAGGAAGGUCCCCACAUUGGAACUGAGACACGGUCCAAACUCC
rnacentral:rRNA from 1 species